GUGUGCAAAGCAGUACCAAGUUGGGAAGGAUAAUGUUCGAUGCUGUUUCUCUGUAUCUCCUGUUACUGCUGCUCGCAGCUGGCUGCAGGAGCACCUUUAUACUCCAGUCGGAGAACACAUUGUCUGUUGGAGAAGGGAGGACGGCGGAGAUGCACUGUUCCCAAAACGAUACUAGCCAUAGCUACAUGUACUGGUACCGCCAGCUAAGGGGAGCACGCCUGCAGCUCAUAGCAACCUCGAUUAAUACAGCAGCACCCACGUUCGAAGAGGAUUUCAAGGCAAGGUUUGAAGGCACCAGACAUGAUCUUAAAUCAUGCAGUUUAAAAAUCCUUCAGCUGCAGACGUCUGAUACUGCACUUUAUUACUGUGCUGCCAGUGAUCACAGCAAUACAAACAAGUGCAGGUCUGUUGCUAAAACCGAGUGAGCAGAUGCAAGCAGAUGGAUUGGAAACCUCGAGUUCACAACGUUCAUAAUUGCAUCCAUUCCUCACUGAUAAUUGCACCCUUUCAUACAAACUGUAUUGGCAUAAAAAUGUUGUCGAAGUAAUAGCAGCGAUUUACAAUCCAAUCAAAGAAUAAGGGACCCUGUUCAUUUCUCGCCGAGCCGGGUAGAUAGUCUCAUGUAAAAUAAUAAUUUGUAGGGGGCAGACAUUCCAUUAUGACCGACUGUUGUGUUUUACGAAACUACUGUCUGUUUGAGUUUACAAUUUAUCCUUUUUAAUCGAACCGCGAAUUUAAUCAUGUUCAAAUAUAUAGCUAACGCUCAUUUGGCACAGUAUAACAAUAGAACCCAAAUGAUGCGGAAAUAGACCAUUCGGCCCAUCGAAUCUGCACUGAAUCACUGAACACUGUCUCACCAGAGAUCCGCUCUCCUAUUCCAAUCACCGCGCAUUUAUAAUGGCUAACUCACCUGCUCAUUUCUGUGCAGUAUUCGGUAAUUUCGCACGGUCAAUUCACUUAACCUGCAUGCAAUAAACAAUACAGGACUAGGAAUAAUUGAAACCCUUCUGGAUGAUCUCGACAGGGCACGAUUCGCGCAAUAAACCACUUCUGCCAGGUAUCAACUGAGCAGUCCACCUCUCCCCAGAUGAGUUUGCUGAUGUUUCCUUUUUGAAUAUGUAUUGACCCAGCCAGCCUUUUCGCUUUUUAUAACGUUGUGGCUCCAGGGCUUCCGAAUGGAGCUGUCUUCACGCUCCAGCUCAGUGAGGGACACCAGUUGAUCUCGCUGGACGAGUUUACAUGCAACUGCGGCAGAAUUGAUGGCACGAAGUGUUGGAAACUGAACGAAAUUCCAUCUCUGUUACCAAUUGGUAUCGUAGCCAAGUGUACUCCAUUGGUAUGGGACCUAUUACAUCUUCUGAUAACUG